rfam:Triticum aestivum genome assembly, contig: Triticum_aestivum_CS42_TGACv1_scaffold_499796_6BL
UACAUACUCCCUCCGUUCGGAAUUACUUGUCGCGAAAGUGGAUGUAUCUAGAUGUAUUUUAGUUCUAGAUACAUCCAUUUCCGAGAGAAGUAAUUUCGAACGGGAGGAAGUACAUC